rnacentral:rRNA from 1 species
UGGGGAAUAUUGGACAAUGGGCGAAAGCCUGAUCCAGCCAUGCCGCGUGUGUGAAGAAGGUCUUCGGAUUGUAAAGCACUUUAAGUUGGGAGGAAGGGCAGUAAGCGAAUACCUUGCUGCUUUGACGUUACCGACAGAAUAAGCACCGGCUAACUCUGUGCCAGCAGCCGCGGUAAUACAGAGGGUGCAAGCGUUAAUCGGAAUUACUGGGCGUAAAGCGCGCGUAGGUGGUUCGUUAAGUUGAAUGUGAAAGCCCCGGGCUCAACCUGGGAACUGCAUCCAAAACUGGCGAGCUAGAGUAGGGCAGAGGGUGGUGGAAUUUCCUGUGGAGCGGUGAAAUGCGUAGAUAUAGGGAGGAACACCAGUGGCGAAGGCGACCACCUGGGCUCAUACUGACACUGAGGUGCGAAAGCGUGGGGAGCAAACAGG